ensembl:lincRNA
GGAAAUUCUAGCAACUCACUCUUCUGGUGCAAGAGGAGAGGUACUGUAGAAAUGCAUAGCAAACAAACUAGAAUGGAGGAAAAUGUAACAGACACAUAGAGCUAGAAGGAACCUCUAUAAUUAUCUUCCCUUAUUUUACAGAUUGGGAAACCCAGGUAACAGUGCAUAGAUGAAUUGCCUAAGGUUCUGCUUCUAGUUGGUGUCCUGCGAAUCAGUUCAGCCCAGAGAACUCAUCACUACCAGGCCCAGUUGAAGGAGGAUAAGGUGAGAUUCCUUCACAAAUGGUGGCUCCAACUGGAAUUCAUUGUCCCAAAUUCUGAGAACUCCUGAGGAAAGAUCCAAAAGUAAUAUGGCUCAAGAUUUUCGAACUGCCCAGGCCCUACUCAGGCUCUUGGACAGCUUGCCCAUCUCAAAGGUCUCUCCUGCCUACUGCUGGCCCUACCCACAAGAUGUGAACUUCAGAGCCUUCUUGCAACUGCUUCUUGGCUAUUUGCACCCUCUAACCCUCUGGAAGAAGAAUGAGGACUAUUAUGAAGGCAAAAGCAUAAAAGGGGAAAAGAUUAGCCUCCAGAGUAGGAAGAUUGGGUUGUUGGAAGCCAGCACAAGUCUUCCCCUGAAAGAGUUAAUUCGCCUCCAAUGGGGGUAGGGACUGACCUGGGAGGGGCCUCAGCCUACAUAGGACAGGCCUAAAGGCCCCAGUGGGGUUGAAGGUGACACUGGGUCAGAUCCCUAGGAUUCUGCAACUUGAGGUGGGAGUGUCUAUAAGCUGGAAACAGAAGUUUCAAAAAAAAAAAAAAGCUCAUUUUGUUUUCAAUUCGUUUUAUCUUGGCUCUAUCUCAAGCACCACUGACUUCAGA